rnacentral:rRNA from 1 species
AUUGAACGCUGGCGGCAGGCUUAACACAUGCAAGUCGAGCGGGGUGAUGGUGCUUGCACUAUCACUUAGCGGCGGACGGGUGAGUAAUGCUUAGGAAUCUGCCUAUUAGUGGGGGACAACAUCUCGAAAGGGAUGCUAAUACCGCAUACGUCCUACGGGAGAAAGCAGGGGACCACUUGUGACCUUGCGCUAAUAGAUGAGCCUAAGUCGGAUUAGCUAGUUGGUGGGGUAAAGGCCAACCAAGGCGACGAUCUGUAGCGGGUCUGAGAGGAUGAUCCGCCACACGGGGACUGAGACACGGCCCAGACUCCUACGGGAGGCAGCAGUGGGGAAUAUUGGACAAUGGGGGGAACCCUGAUCCAGCCAUGCCGCGUGUGUGAAGAAGGCCUUAUGGUUGUAAAGCACUUUAAGCGAGGAGGAGGCUCUUUUGGUUAAUACCCAAGAUGAGUGGACGUUACUCGCAGAAUAAGCACCGGCUAACUCUGUGCCAGCCGCCGCCGUAA